AGGGACGUAGCACAGUGGUAGAGCAUCUGCUUUGCAUGCAGAAGGUCCCGGGUUCAAUCCCUAGCAUCCCUA